rnacentral:rRNA from 1 species
AACGCGAAGAACCUUACCUAGUCUUGACAUGCAGGGGACCGCGGCAGAAAUGUCGCUUUUCGAAAGAACCGCUGCACAGGUGCUGCAUGGCUGUCGUCAGCUCGUGCCGUGAGGUGUUUGGUUAAGUCCAGCAACGAGCGCAACCCUUAUCAUUAGUUGCCAACACUUAGGGUGGGAACUCUAAUGAGACUGCCUGGGUAACCAGGAGGAAGGUGAGGAUGACGUCAAGUCAGCAUGGCCCUUAUGACUAGGGCGACACACGUGCUACAAUGGUCGGUACAGAAGGCAGCAAAGCCGUAAGGUGGAGCAAAUCCCAAAAGCCGGCCUCAGUUCAGAUUGUAGUCUGCAACUCGACUACAUGAAGUCGGAAUUGCUAGUAAUGGCGCGUCAGCCAUAGCGCCGUGAAUACGUUCCCGGGCCUUGUACACACCGGUAUCUC